rnacentral:rRNA from 1 species
CAGUCCUACGGGAGGCAGCAGUGAGGAAUAUUGGUCAAUGGUCGGGAGACUGAACCAGCCAAGCCGCGUGAGGGAUGAAGGUACAGAGUAUCGUAAACCUCUUUUGUCAGGGAACAAAGGCGGGGACGCGUCCCCGGAUGAGUGUACCUGAAGAAAGAGCAUCGGCUAACUCCGUGCCAGCAGCCGCGGUAAUACGGAGGAUGCGCGCGUUAUCCGGAUUUAUUGGGUUUAAAGGGUGCGCAGGCGGUCUGUUAAGUCAGCGGUCAAAGCCCGGGGCUCAACCCCGGCCCGCCGUUUACAC